rnacentral:rRNA from 1 species
UUUGGUCAUCAUUGCGAUGGAGAUACACCUGUUCCCAUGUCGAACACAGCAGUUAAGUCCAUCUACGGCGGAAGUACUUGGGGGUGCCCCCUGGGAGAUAGGCGAGUGGCCAAGU